ensembl:rRNA 5S_rRNA 5S ribosomal RNA
GCGCCCGAUCUCGUCUGAUCUCGGAAGCU